CCACCAUACCUGUAAUACCCGAGUAAUUUUGUAUUUUUUAGUAGAGACAGGCUUUUACCAGGUUGGCCAGGCUGGGCUCAAACUCCUGAGCUCGGGUGAUCCACCCUCCUCAGUCUCCCAAAGUGCUAGGAUUAUAGGCAUCAGCCACCACACCCGGCCGUCAAAAUAGAGAAAAAAAAUUUUCUUUUUUUUUUUUUUUGAGACAGAGUCUUGCUCUGUUUCCAGGCGCCAGGCUAGAGUGCAGUGGCACAAUCUUGGCUCACUGCAACCUCUGCCUCCCAGGUUCAAGUGAAUCUCCUGCCUCAGCCUCCUGAGUAGCUGGAACUAUAGGCGUGUGCCACCAUGCCCAGCUAAUUUUUGUAUUUUAGUAGAGACAGGGUUUCACCAUGUUGGCCAAGAUGGUCUCAAUCUCUUGACCUCCUGAUAUGCCCACCUUGGCCUCCCAAAGUGCUGGGAUUACAGGUGUGAGUCACUGUGCCCAGCCCGAAAAAAAUUUUUAAAGUUUGAGAAGAUACAAAAUUUGCAUAAUCUCCAAGUAUUUCUCCUGAGAUGUUUUCCCCCUACGAGGGGGAAAGAUAGUAACUUUACAAUGGAGAAACCCAACAGAAACCUUAACCAAAUGAAAGUUCAGCAUCAUCCGUAAUAAGAACUAUCAAUGCCAUAACUCUGAUGGAAUGCAAUGGGAAGGAUUUCACAUCAUUUUUGUGCUGUAGUUGCCAAAAUUGCACAACCUCAGUCCAAUCAUGGGAAUACAUCAGUCAAACCCAAGUUGAGAAACAUUUGACAAGUACUGAUCAGUACUGGUUCAAAGUGCCAAGGUCAUGAAAGAUAAGAAAGACUGAGCAACAGUUAAUGCAGUCUAACAAAACUGCGGAAGACUAAGAAAGAACAGAAAAAGGCUUUUUCUGCCCGUGGAUGCCACCGAAGCAGCAUCGUUAAAGUCUCUCUUCUCCCUGCAAUCAUGUCUAAGUCAGAGUCUCCUAAAGAGCCGGAACAGCUGAGGAAGCUCUUCAUUGGAGGGUUGAGCUUUGAAACAACCGAUGAGAGCCUGAUGAGCCAUUUUGAGCAAUGGGGAACUGUGUGGUAAUGAGAGACCCAAACACCAAGCGCUCCAGGGGCUUUGGGUUCAUCACGUAUGCAACUGUGGAGUAGGUGGAUGCAGCCAUGAAUGCAAGGCCGCGCAAAGUGGAUGGAAGAGUUGUGGAACCAAAGAGAGCUGUCUCAAGAGAAGAUUCUCAAAGACCACGUGCCCAUUUAACUGUGAAAAAAAUAUUCGUUGGUGGCAUUAAAGAAGACACUGAAGAACAUCACCUAAGAGAUUAUUUUGAACAGUAUGGAAAAAUUGAAGUGAUUGAAAUUAUGACGGACAGAGGCAGUGGCAAGAAAAGGGGCUUUGCCUUUGUAACCUUGGACGACCAUGACUCUGUGGAUAAGAUUGUCAUUCAGAAAUCCCAUACCGUGAAUGGCCACAACUGUGAAGUUAGGAAAGCCCUGUCAGAGCAAGAGCUGGCUAGUGCUUUAUCCAGCCAAAGAGGUCCAAGUUGUUCUGGAAACUUUGGUGGUGGUCGUGGAGGUGGUUUCAGCGGGAAUGACAACUUUGGUUGUGGAAGAAAAUUCAGUGGUCGUGGUGGCUUUGGUGGCAGUCGUGGUGGUGGUGGAUAUGGUGGCAGUGGGGAUGGCUAUAAUGGAUUUGGUAAUGAUGGAGGCAAUUUUGGAGGUGGUGGAAGCUACAAUGAUUUUGGCAGUUACAACAAUCAGUCUUCAAAUUUUGGACCCACGAAGGGAGGAAACUUUGGGGGCAGAAGCUCUGGUCCCUAUGGUGGUGGCGGCCAAUACUUUGCCAAACCACGAAACCAAGGUGGCUAUGGCGGUUCCAGUAGCAGCAGUAGCUAUGGCAGUGGCAGAAGAUUUUAAUUAGGAAACAAAGCUGAGCAGGAGAGGAGAGCCAGAGAAGUGACAGGGAAGAUACAGGUUACAACAGAUUUGUGAACUCAGCCAAGCGCAGUGGUGGCAGGGCCUAGCUGCCACAAAGAAGACAUGAUUUAGACAAAUACUCAUGUGUAUGGGCAAAAAACUCGAGGACUAUUUGUCACUAAUUGUAUAACAGGUUAUUUUAGUUUCUCUUCUGUGGAAAGUGUAAAGCAUUCCAGCAAAGGGUUUUAAUGCAGAUUUUUUCUUUUUCUUUUUUUUGCACCCAUGCUGCUGAUUGCUAAAUGUAAUAGUCUGAUUGUGACACGGAAUAAAUGUCUUUUUUUU